AUCAUUAAGCGGAGGAAAAGAAACCAACCGGGAUUCCCUCAGUAACGGCGAGUGAAGCGGGAUCAGCCCAGCGCCGAAUCCGCCGCGGCCUACAGCCCGGCCGGAACUGUGGCGUGCGGGACGUGGCCAGUCGGUCGGGAGUGUACCCGAGUCCCCCCGAGCGGGGCCCAUCCCAUAGCGGGUGCCAGGCCUCUGCAGGUACGCAUCCGACCGGCCGCUACCGUCCCCGGAGUCGGGUCGCUUGGGAAUGCAGCCCGAAGCGGGUGGUAAACUCCACCUAAGGCUAAAUACCGGCGCGAGUCCGAUAGCGGACAAGUACCGCGAGGGAAAGUUGAAAAGAACUUUGAAGAGAGGGUUCAAGAGCACGUGAAACCGUUCAGGGGUAAACGGGCGGAACCGAAGCGAACGGCCGGCGAGGGUCAGUUCGGAAGGUUUUUCGGGCCGGAACGGUCGCGUCGCGUCAGAUGAUCGGGUUCGCUCGUUUAUCGGCCGGCCGGUCGUUUUUCCGGUCCCCUUCCGGGCGCACCCCUCGUCGGCCAGAGCCGCGACCGGCUCCGAGCCUCCUCCCGGACGUCGUCGGAACCGUUCCCGCGAGGGAACUGGGGAGGCGGUCGUUCAACGAGAGCGAGGCACGGGGUCGAGGAGAGGGCCGCGUGGUUAUGGGUGGAUCGGGUGUCGGGGGCGAGCUCCUUCGGGCGCGAACCUCCGCAUUCGGUUCCCCGCCCGCCCCUGGUCAGCGGCGAAGAGCGGACGGCUGUCCACCCGACCCGUCUUGAAACACGGACCAAGGAGUCCGACGCGCGCGCGAGUCGCGGGGUUUCACGAAACCCGCGGGCGCAGUGAAAGCGAGGGUCGCGUAGGUCGGCCCAGGCGAGAUCCCUUUGGUUUCGCGUCGACUCCCGCGAGGGGGUUUGGCGCGUCCUCGGGCGCAUCGCCGGCCCGUCCCAUGUCGCGUUGUCGGCGGGGCGGAGCGAGAGCGCGCGCGUCGGGACCCGAAAGAUGGUGAACUACGCUUGGGCAGGGCGAAGCCGGGGGAAACCCCGGUGGAGGMCCGCAGMGACUC
rnacentral:rRNA from 1 species